GGGGGAGGGAGGCGCAAGGUCGUCUGCGCGAGGACUACCUCCGCGCGUCGUGGGGAGUGGGGUUUGGGCACGUGGAGUGACUGCGGACUUGUGGACUCUGGAGGCGUGUCGCUCCACGACCUGUCCCUGGGAAGGGUGCGGCGUCACUGCAUAAGAACGCUGAGCACGAGAGCUGGUGCUCUCCAAAGCAGAAAGAUUCCGAGGCCCAGGUGCCGACUUUGGAACCCAAACAGUCCGAGGAUGUGAUUGGGCAGCUCUGUCAACACUCAUAGCGUGAACCGUCGAAUAAGCUUGAUCGAACACCUGUUGUUUGUCAGACCUUGUCGUGGCUGCUCAGGGGCUUCUGCCUUUUAAUUCUGCCUGUUAAUUCAGCAAAUACACCUAAGCACCAGGCAUUAUACCAGGCAUGCAUAGGUAGCCUGGUAAAUGGAGAGCCCAGGAAAGAAUGAAGUUAGCAGUCGGGAGGAGGAGAACCGAAGGAAAGGCGGCUUUUCUCGUGGCGGUGCUAGAGACACUGUGAAGAUUAAAUGAAAGGCCCUUAGACGACUGUAUGGCACCUAGCUAAGUACUACAACUCAAUAAACGUUGCUAGUUGUUCAUGGAUAUUUAAAGAGGUCAUAUAUUGUGAAACUGAUAUUACAAUGGUGGAUAUACAUGCUGUUAUACAUUUGUCCAAACCCAUAGAACAUAUCACACCAAGAAUGAAUCCUAAUGUAAACAAUGGAUUUUGGGGAUAAUGUUGUGUCCACAUAGGUUCAUCAGUUGUAACAAAUACCCCACCCUGGAGCAGGAUGUGGAUAGUGGAGUAUUUGGACUUGGGUGGGGACAGGGGCAUAUCGAAACUCUGCACUUUCCAUUCAAUUUUGUUGUGAACCUGAAACUGCUCUAAGAAAUAAAGUGUGUUAAUAAAAUGUAAAAAAAAAAAAAAAAAAAAAA